AUGGAGGGCAUGGACGUGGACCGGGACCUGGAGCUGAUGCAGAAUUUCAACUACCUGAGCACCACCAACAAAGACGUGCUCAUCUCCAAGUUCCAGAGGCUGCUCGGCUUCCAGCUCAACCCUGCCAGUUGCGCCUUCUUCCUGGACAGGACCAACUGGAACCUACAAGCAGCAAUUGGUGCCUCUUAUGCCUUUGAGAGCUCAAACAUCAGUGUGCCCUCUGUGUCCUUUGUUGAAGAUGUCACCCUAGAGGAAGGGUAGUCAAUACCUCCUGAUACUCAGUUUGUAAAAACUUGGUGGAUCCAGAAUUCUGUGGCAGAGGCCUGGCCUCCAGGGGUUUGUCCUAAAUAUGUCGGGGGAGACCAAGUUGGACAUGUGAGCAUGCUGAUGGUGAGAUUGCUAGAGCCGCAAGAGAUUACAGAUGUUAUUGUCCAGAUGUGCAGCCCCAGCAGAGCAGGAAUGUAUCAGGGAUGGUGACGGAUGUGCACUGCUACAGGACUCUACUAUGGAGAUGUCAUCUGGGUGAUUCUCAGUGUAGAGGUGGGUGGACUUUUAGAAGUAACACAGCAGCUGUCAUCUUUUGAAACGGAGUUCAACACAACCGCAUAGCAAGGUAGAAGGAAACUUCAACCCUUUUGCCUCUCCCAAAAGAACCAACAAUCAGAUGAAAACAACUUAUAAGACCCUGGGGGUUCCGAGUUCUACUCGAUCAGCAAAAACACAUGGGCUGCUGCUCCUGACCAAGCUGAGCAAGACCAGAGCAGACUGUCACAGAACUCUGUAAAUCUGUCUCCCAGCAGUCAUGCAAACAACUUAUCAGUAGUGACUUACAGUAAGGGGCUCCGUGGGCCUUACCCCUUCGGCCAGU
rnacentral:lncRNA from 1 species